UACAGAGGGGGCAAGCGUUGUUCGGAAUUACUGGGCGUAAAGGGCGCGUAGGCGGCCUUCUAAGUCGAACGUGAAAUCCCCCGGGCUCAACCCGGGAACUGCGUCCGAUACUGGAAGGCUUGAAUCCGGGAGAGGGAGUGCGGAAUUCCGAGGUGAGCGGUGAAAUGCGUAGAUAUCUGGAGGAACACCGGUGGCGAAGGCGGCGAUCCUGGACCGG
rnacentral:rRNA from 1 species